AUACAACCUCAGAUCAGACAUGGCAACCCUCUGUUAGCAUCUCACUUAGUGGAGGUAAUGAAACUUAACAGGAUUCCCUCAGUAAUUUUGAGUGAUGAGGUAAAAUUCCAGAACCAAAUUCCCUUUUGGCAGUGGGUGGGGGACAUUUGGUUGCACAAGAAUGACUCCCCGGUGUCGCUUAGUGGUGAUAGAUCAGUGGCAGACCCUGGUCCGCUGGGAUUGGGUCUUCUCAGAGUCGGGUUGCUUGGGAAUGGAGCCCAAAGGGGUUGGUAGACUCCAUCUAAGACUAAAUAUGGGCAAGAGACCGAUAGCCAACAGGUUCCGUAAGAGAAAGUUGAAAAGAGCUUUGAAGAGAGAAUUAAAGAGGGCGUGAAUCCAUCGAGAAGUAAAUGGGUGGAGUCCAGCCAAUUGGCUUGGAGGAUUCAACACAGUGGGUAGGUUGGUCACUCAAAGGGUGCCAGGGGUCUGCAGUGAUGUCUGUUACCAAUCCAACCCAUUUUGAAUCAAGGACAAAGGAGUUUAAGACAUGCACGAGUCGGUGGGCCAAACAAAAUCCUGUGGGCAAUGAAGGUCUGCGGCUGAGGUGGGAUCCUAUUGCAGUGUUGAGGCAGGCUCACCACUGGCCCGUCUCAAUCGCUCUGUCAGUAGGUGGGCAUGUGUCUAUAGAAUCCAAAAGAUGGUGAACUGUGCCUGGGCAGGGCAAAGCAAGAGGGAACUCUGGUGGAGGUCUGUAUCAGUCCUGAUAUGCAUAUUGGUCAGUUGACCUGUGUGCAGGGGAGAAAUACUAAUCAAACCAUCUAGUAGCUUGUUAGUGUCUCUCAGGAUAGCUGGCAAUUAGAUAGCCCCAUGGAGUCGGGCAUCAAAUGCCAGUGCCCAUUGUGACACUUUUGGUAAGAAGAACUGGCGCAGUGGUAUGAUCAGAAUGCCAGGUUAAGGCACAUGAUGCCAACUCUCAUCAGACCUCAGAAAAUGUAUUGGACACCAAAAUGGUACCCAUGGAUUCAGAAUCUGCAAAGAAGUGUGACACAACUCACCAGCCAAAUCAAUUAGCCCUGACUAUGGAUGGUGCUGGAGUGUCAGGACCAUAUAUGGCUGACGCUGGUGCUGAGAGCCACAGGGUCCAACAUGCAAAGAGUAGGAGGGCUGCUGCUUUGCGCACAAUUGCCCGGGGAAAGUGCCCUGUUGGAGCCACCUGAGCUGCAGAUAUUGGUGGUAGUAGCAAAUAUUAAGUCGAGAGGUUUGAAGUGCCAUGUGGAGGAGGGUACCAUGUGAAACGAUAUUUACGCAUGGGUCACUCAUCUUAAGCGAUGAGCGUGCCGAUGCCCUCAGCUGAUCUAAAGGGAGUCGGUGGCAGGGGCGGGACCCCUAAGGGCAUCCAGUGCAGUAACACAACUGUUCCCAGAGGAGCAGGCCUGAGCCCUGGGGAGAGUUCUAUUUUCUUUGCUAAGGGCAGGGGACCCUGGAAUGUGUUUGCCCCUUGAGUGCUGCCAGAGCCUUGGAGAGAGUUGAGGUUCUGGCGGUGUCUGGUGAGCUUUAACUGGGCCUUGAAAAUCCAGGGGAGAUAGUGUAAAUCUCACACUGAGCCGUACACAUAUCUGCAGCAGGUCUCCAGGGGGAACAGCCUCUGGCAUGUUGGAACAAUGUAGGUAAGGGUAGUCAGCAAAUCAGAUCUGUAACUUCUUGAUAAUUAUUGUCUCUAAGGGCUGGGUCAGUCAGGAUGGGGUCCAAAGUGGGGCUGGGCACACGCCAUGGCUGGACAAAGUGUCUCCCCUCCUUGGGGGCCCCAAUGACUCUGAAUGUGAGUCAGGCCCUUUGUGUAGAUCACCCCCUCUAUGGAGGUCACCUCUCUCUGUUUGCCUCUGGGGGUUUGGGCCCAGAGUUCUGCCUCGGCCUUCACCUAGCAGCUGACUUACAAAUGGUGCAGACCAGGGGAAUCUGAAUUUUUUUAAUUCAACCAAAACAUCGCGAAGGCCCAUGCGGAUGUUGAUGCUCAGUGCUCUGAAUGUCAAAGUUAAGAAAUUCAAUGAAGUGCGGGUAAAUGGUGGGAGUAACUAUGACUCUCUUACGGUAGCCAAAUGCCUGAUCAUCUAUUUAGAGAUAUGCAUGAAUGAAUGAACAAGAUUCCCCCUGCCCAUACCUACUAUCUAACAGCACCACAGCCAAGAGAACAGGCUUAGUAGAAUCAGAGGGGAAAGAAGACUGAGUUGUGCUUGACUCCAGUCUGGCAUUGUUAAGAUACAUGAGAGGUAUAGGAUAUGUGGGAGGCCCUCGGGCGGCCAGUUCAAUUCCACUACUUUUAUCAUUUUCUCAUUUACCCUGUGUGGUGGGGGCAGGCCCUGUGGGGUUGUGACUUCUGGCUCCAAGCUCCGGGUCUAGCAAGGCAUGACCAGCUCUCGGGACAGUGGCCUGUGGGGAGUUUGACUGGGGCAGUACACCUGUCAAAAGAUAACACAGGUGCCCUAAGGGGAUCUCAGGCAGGGCAGAAAACUCCCAUAGAAGCAUGGACUCUUGAUUCUUCUGACAUCUGACUUUUUGGGUUUCAAGCAGGCAGUGUCAGGAAAUGACAAAAAGUAUAACUGUUUUGUGGCAGUCAAGCAUUCUUAGCAAUUUUGAUUUUUCUUCCAUCUAUGUCGGAACUUCUAAUCAAUGUGAAGCAGCAUUCAUCAAGCGUUGGAUUGUUCAACCACUAAUAGGGAAUGGGUUUAGACCAUCGUGUGACAGGUUAAUUUUACCCUAAUGAUGAUGUGUUGUUGCAAUAGUAAUCCUGCUCAGUACUAGAGGAAACGCAGGUUGAGACAUUUGGUGCAUGUGCUUAGAGUAGAAGCCAGUGUGGCGAAGCUACCAUCUGGUGUAUUAUGACUGAACGCUUGUAAGUUAGAUUCCCCCCUGAACUGUAACAGUAGAGCAAUGCUGUGGUGUUUCAGUUAGUCUAGAAAAGACGGCCUCUGGGCAUGGGAGUAUAGCCGCUCACCUCAGGACUCGAGUGUGGACAGAUGGGAGCCAUCUCGCUCGCAACAUAUUGCAUGGCAUUUUCAUUGGGGAUUGGUACAAAAACAUUCAUACAUAACCUGAUUCUGGGUCAGGGUUUUGUAAAUAGCAGAGCAGAUAGUUUUCUCUGAUCUAUUGAA
rnacentral:rRNA from 1 species